ACAAUAUUUGAUGUGAAUGACAACAGAAAAAGAAUGUAUCUUUAGAGUCUAAAGAACAUUGAGUGGGUCUUGAACUCAAAGCAAUUAUUUUACAUUUCUGCCUCAAAGGUUGCCACUACUGACUGCAGAACGCAAUCAUUUAAGGGAGGCAUGGUGUAUCGUUCAUCAGAUAUCAGAUUUUGAUAAUAUGAUUUUAAGGAAGAAAAUUGAUUUCAGUUUUGCAGAUGUUUACGGAAAUGGAAGGCAAAUUUAAACAUUGUCAAAAUAUGGUGUCACAUUUCCCACCAGCGGUUACAUAGUUGGGUGGAAUGCGCAAAUGGGGUUUAACUUCACGUGUCUGUUAGAGCAGAAAUAUAUCUGCAAUAAAGUACUAUGACAUUUUCGAAAAACAUUGCUUAUUGUCGAAUAUUGUGACAAACGAUUUACAAUAAGUUUUACAAUAGGACAUUGUUUCCAUUUCCAAGACCGAACAUUGCAACCUUUAACCGUGACUGGUUUACACAGAAUCACGUGACCGUAAUGGAAUGGCCUUCUGCCUUACCGGAUUUAAAUCUGAUGGAAAAUGUUUGGCAGAUCAGAAAAUUGUGUUAAAAAAUCAGUCAGAAAAAAUCACAGACUUAAAAGCUACAACAAUGGAAACGUGUGUGUGGGGGGGGGGGGUGGAUGGAUCAAAACUAUUUAGAAAAUUUGCAUUGGAGCAUCACUCUAUCUCACGCGACGCAGAUGCUGCUAAAAUUGAGUCCUUCAAAAAACAAUACUAUGAAAGCUAAAGAUUUAUCACAUGAAAGCAAGGCGAUGUAGUUUUAGCUGCUUCGCUGCCAGGUGUCGGUUUCAUCAGGAACACCCCC